rfam:Thelazia callipaeda genome assembly, scaffold: TCLT_scaffold0001011
GUAGGUUACGGUGACAUGACGCCACAAACUACACUUGGACGUUUAGUAGGAAGUUUAUGUGCUGUUAUGGGUGUUCUAACUAUUGCACUCCCAGUACCUGUUAUUGUUAGUAAU